UACGUAGGGACCAAGCGUUGUUCGGAUUUACUGGGCGUAAAGGGCGCGUAGGCGGCGUGUUAAGUCAGCUGUGAAAUCUCCAAGCUUAACUUGGAACGGUCAGCUGAUACUGAUGUGCUAGAGUGCAGAAGGGGCAAUCGGAAUUCUUGGUGUAGCGGUGAAAUGCGUAGAUAUCAGGAAGAACACCGGUGGCGAAAGCGCUCUGCUAGGCCGCAACUGACACUGAGGGACGAAAGCUAGGGGAGCGAAUGGG
rnacentral:rRNA from 1 species